rnacentral:rRNA from 1 species
UAAGCGGAGGAAAAGAAACUAACAAGGAUUCCCCUAGUAACGGCGAGCGAAGCGGGAAGAGCUCAAAUUUGAAAGCUGGCACCUCCGGUGUCCGCGUUGUAAUCUCGAGACGUGUUUUCCGUGCGGCUCUAUGGACAAGUCCCUUGGAAUAGGGCAUCGUAGAGGGUGAGAAUCCCGUACUUGCCAUGGAAGAACCGUGCUUUGCGAUACACGCUCUAAGAGUCGAGUUGUUUGGGAUUGCAGCUCAAAAUGGGUGGUAGACUCCAUCUAAAGCUAAAUAUCGGGGAGAGACCGAUAGCGAACAAGUACCGUGAGGGAAAGAUGAAAAGCACUUUGGAAAGAGAGUUAAAAGUACGUGAAAUUGUCGAAAGGGAAGCACUUGAAGUCAGCCAUGCUGCUUGAGACUCAGCCUGGCCUUUGGGCUUGGUGUAUUUCUCGGUGGCAAGCCAGCAUUGGUUUGGGUCGUCGGAGAAGCGCAUAGGGAAUGUAGCGUUUCCGGACGUGUUAUAGCCUUAUGCAGGAUACGACGACCUGGAUCAAGGAACGCAGUGUGCCCUCUGGGCGGGUCUUCGGACACCUUCACACUUAGGAUGCUGGCGUAAUGGCUUUAAGUGGCCCGUCUUGA